UACCAGCACCCCGAGUGGUCGGGACGAUUAUUGGGCCUAAAGCAUCCGUAGCCGGUCCUGCAAGUCUUCCGUUAAAUCCAGCUGCUCAACAGAUGGGCUGCGGGGGGAUACUACAGGGCUAGGAGGCGGGGAGAGGCAAGCGGUACUUUAUGGGUAGGGGUAAAAUCCGUUGAUCCAUAGAAGACCACCAGUGGCGAAGGCGGCUUGCCAGAACGCGCUCGACGGUGAGGGAUGAAAGCUGGGGGGAGCAAACCGGG
rnacentral:rRNA from 1 species